GGUUUAAUUCGAUGCAACGCGAAAACCUUUACCCACCUUUGACAUGUACGGAAUCCUUUAGAGAUAGAGGAGUGCUCGAAAGAGAACCGUAACACAGGUGCUGCAUGGCUGUCGUCAGCUCGUGUCGUGAGAUGUUGGGUUAAGUCCCGCAACGAGCGCAACCCUUGUCCUUAGUUACCAGCACGUAAUGGUGGGCACUCUAAGGAGACUGCCGGUGACAAACCGGAGGAAGGUGGGAUGACGUCAAGUCAUCAUGGCUCUUACGGCCAGGGCUACACACGUGCUACAAUGGUCGGUACAGAGGGUUGCCAAGCCGCGAGGUGGAGCUAAUCUCACAAAACCGAUCGUAGUCCGGAUCGCAGUCUGCAACUCGACUGCGUGAAGUCGGAAUCGCUAGUAAUCGUGGAUCAGCAUGUCACGGUGAAUACGUUCCCGGGUCUU
rnacentral:rRNA from 1 species